CUCCUGGAAACGGGUGGUAAUGCCGGAUGCUCCGCCCCCUCGCAUGGGGGGUCGGGAAGGCUUUUGCGGAAUGGGAUGGGGUCGCGUCCUAUCAGCUUGUUGGCGGGGCGACGGCCCACCAAGGCUUCGACGGGUAGCCGGCCUGAGAGGGCGACCGGCCACAUUGGGACUGAGAUACGGCCCAGACUCCUACGGGAGGCAGCAGUGGGGAAUAUUGCACAAUGGGGGGAACCCUGAUGCAGCGACGCCGCGUGCGGGAUGGAGGCCUUCGGGUCGUGAACCGCUUUUGAUUGGGAGCAAGCGUGGGUGAGUGUACCUUUCGAAUAAGCACCGGCUAACUACGUGCCAGCAGCCGCGGUAAUACGUAGGGUGCAAGCGUUGUCCGGAAUCAUUGGGCGUAAAGGGCUCGUAGGCGGUUCGUCGCGUCCGGUGUGAAAGCCCAUCGCUUAACGGUGGGUCUGCGCCGGGUACGGGCGGGCUUGAGUGCGGCAGGGGAGGCUGGAAUUCCCGGUGUAACGGUGGAAUGUGUAGAUAUCGGGAAGAACACC
rnacentral:rRNA from 1 species